AACAGGAUUAGAUACCCUGGUAGUCCACGCCGUAAACGAUGUCGACUUGGAGGUUGUGCCCUUGAGGCGUGGCUUCCGGAGCUAACGCGUUAAGUCGACCGCCUGGGGAGUACGGCCGCAAGGUUAAAACUCAAAUGAAUUGACGGGGGCCCGCACAAGCGGUGGAGCAUGUGGUUUGAUUCGAUGCAACGCGAAGAACCUUACCUACUCUUGACAUCCAGAGAACUUAGCAGAGGUGCUUUGGUGCCUUCGGGAACUCUGAGACAGGUGCUGCAUGGCUGUCGUCAGCUCGUGUUGUGAAAUGUUGGGUUAAGCCCCGCAACGAGCGCAACCCUUAUCCUUUGUUGCCAGCGGUCCGGCCGGGAACUCAAAGGAGACUGCCAGUGAUAAACUGGAGGAAGGUGGGGAUGACGUCAAGUCAUCAUGGCCCUUACGAGUAGGGCUACACACGUGCUACAAUGGCAUAUACAAAGAGAAGCGACCUCGCGAGAGCAAGCGGACCUCAUAAAGUAUGUCGUAGUCCGGAUUGGAGUCUGCAACUCGACUCCAUGAAGUCGGAAUCGCUAGUAAUCGUGGAUCAGAAUGCCACGGUGAAUACGUUCCCGGGCCUUGUACACACCGCCCGUCACACCAUGGGAGUGGGUUGCAAAAGAAGUAGGUAGCUUAACCUUCGGGAGGGCGCUUACCACUUUGUGAUUCAUGACUGGGGUGAAGUCGUAACAAGGUAACC
rnacentral:rRNA from 1 species